rnacentral:rRNA from 1 species
UAGGGAGGGUGCAAGCGUUACUCGGAAUCACUGGGCGUAAAGCGCGCGUAGGCGGCCUAGCAAGUCUGGUGUGAAAGCCCAGGGCUCAACCCUGGAAGGGCACUGGAAACUGUUAGGCUUGAGUUCCGGAGAGGAGGGGGGAAUUCCCGGUGUAGCGGUGAAAUGCGUAGAUAUCGGGAGGAAUACCGGUGGCGAAGGCGCCCCUCUGGACGGAAACUGACGCUGAGGCGCGAAAGCGUGGGGAGCAAACAGG